rnacentral:rRNA from 1 species
ACGAACGCUGGCGGCGUGCUUCACACCUGCAAGUCGAACGGAAAGGCCCUGCUUGCAGGGUACUCGAGUGGCGAACGGGUGAGUAACACGUGGGUGAUCUGCCCUGCACUUCGGGAUAAGCCUGGGAAACUGGGUCUAAUACCGGAUAGGAGCCAUUUUUAGUGUGAUGGUUGGAAAGUUUUUUCGGUGUAGGAUGAGCUCGCGGCCUAUCAGCUUGUUGGUGGGGUAAUGGCCUACCAAGGCGGCGACGGGUAGCCGGCCUGAGAGGGUGGACGGCCACAUUGGGACUGAGAUACGGCCCAGACUCCUACGGGAGGCAGCAGUGGGGAAUAUUGCACAAUGGGCGCAAGCCUGAUGCAGCGACGCCGCGUGGGGGAUGACGGCCUUCGGGUUGUAAACUCCUUUCGCUAGGGACGAAGCUUUUUGUGACGGUACCUAGAUAAGAAGCACCGGCUAACUACGUG